rnacentral:rRNA from 1 species
CGGAACGGGUGAGUAAUACAUAAGUAACCUGCCCUAGACAGGGGGAUAACUAUUGGAAACGAUAGCUAAGACCGCAUAGGUACGGACACUGCAUGGUGACCGUAUUAAAAGUGCCUCAAAGCACUGGUAGAGGAUGGACUUAUGGCGCAUUAGCUGGUUGGCGGGGUAACGGCCCACCAAGGCGACGAUGCGUAGCCGACCUGAGAGGGUGACCGGCCACACUGGGACUGAGACACGGCCCAGACUCCUACGGGAGGCAGCAUG